UUUAGGUCGAUUAUGUCUUACAUAUGGUGGUGGUCGAUUAUUUGAAGUCGCCUUUCUGCUGCCGAAAACUACCCGUUGGUGAAUUUUCAUACACGUUUUUAGAACAGCGUUUUUGCAAAUAUAAUAGUGACCACCUUACAUACAAUACAUAAACUACAGUUAGACUUCACAGACGAUCAAGUGCAGCGGAAGAUGUGUGUUGAAGAGCUGGUUUUUAGAAACGAAGGCAAGUAUGCGUGUAUUUCUACCAUCGUCACAUGUGGUGCUACGGACAAUUUCAUAGAUGACAUUGAUCGUGCUGUGUAUGAUGGUGCAAAUACCUAGUAAGUGUUUGACAUGUGACGGUCAUUAUGUGCCUAGUUCUGCUACCACUGAAAUCAAUUUGGCUUCCGAACUGGCUCUUCACGCUACCCGGUCUAGAACAAUAUGCUGUACGUGAAUGCAUGCGCAACACCUACACGAGCAAGUCCUCGCGCUUUACGUCUACAUUUACACGUUUUUGAUUUCUGCCCGAAUCAUCGCAAUUACUAAAAGUGGAUUAUAUUAUCAAUAUAGAAAUUUUUCAAUGUAUUAGUUUUAGACUAUAUGAAUAUAUUUUCCUAACUAUACUAAUAUUAGGGACGCCAAGUAUA